CACGCCGUAAACGAUGGAUACUAGGUGUAGGGGGUAUCGACCCCUUCUGUGCCGUAGUUAACGCAAUAAGUAUCCCGCCUGGGGAGUACGUGCACAAGCAUGAAACUCAAAGGAAUUGACGGGGACCCGCACAAGCAGCGGAGCAUGUGGUUUAAUUCGAAGCAACGCGAAGAACCUUACCAGGUCUUGACAUCCCGGUGACCGGUAUAGAGAUAUACCUUUCCUUCGGGACACUGGAGACAGGUGG
rnacentral:rRNA from 1 species